CCAUGUUGUACACAUAAGGCUUCUUCCUGCCCUUUUAUGCCUGUGCCUUCUUUUCUUCUUUCUUUGUGUUGUCGCGCCACACGAGCGACGGCAUCUUAACAUUAAAGGAAGCAGAGCGCCUCUUCGCGCUGCGUGCCCCUGCCCUCUGGCUCGGACAGCAGCCGCCUCCGCGUGUCUCUCUCUGUGUAUGUGUUGGUGCUGGUGAAUAGGCUGUGCGGAGGUAUCGUGGCGCACCCCUGCCGCCUUCGUAAACAGCGGUUACAUACCUGUACACAUACAAACACAUUGGACCAAUAAAAGAGCGUGAGAGCGAGCCUCGAGGUUCGAGAUUGUAGCGACG
rnacentral:misc_RNA from 1 species